AAUUUUCAAGCAUCUCAAAACCUCAAGCAGAAGCUGAAGCCAGCUGCCUCCAUUCCUGCUCCUAACCGGACUAAGGAGGACCCGCUCUCCCUCCACUCUCUUUCCUUCUCCUCCUAAGCAUUAGCUGGAACCGCGGAAAAGAUAACCUUAAAACAGUAGGCUUCUGGGCAACCAGCAAUGAGGAACUGAAGCCCUUAGUUCAACAACUCACAAGGAAUAAGAUCCUACUAACAACUAUGUGAAUGAGCUUAGAAGCGUCUUUUCCCUCUGUUGAGCCUUCAGAUGACACUGCAACCAUGACCAAUAUCUUGAUUACAGCCAUAUAAGAAGGCAGAAGCACUGGUCCUUCCAUGCCCAGAUUCAUGACCCACAGAAACCAUGAAAUGACAAAUAUUUGUUCUUUUAAGUAACUAGGUUUUGAGGUAACCUGAUAUACAAUAGAAAACUAACAUAGCAUUUAUGUAAAAUUUUAAAGCACAUUAAAUUACAUUUGAGAAGCAUAUACUUAUGUGUGAUAUGUAAAAGCACAUGAAUAGGAACAAUAACACCAACUUAUAAAUAAUGCAUAUUUCUUGGAAUAGAGGAAGGGAAAGU
rnacentral:lncRNA from 1 species